rnacentral:rRNA from 1 species
CACGUCCCCCGGGUCAGAGCGCAUCUACACGUACGCCCGGCCUCCUCUUCAACUGAGGCGAGUAUAACUAGCCACCCAUAGCGUGGACGCGGAAACUUUCCAAGGCGCGCAACGGCCUCUGCCCCGAUCCCGGAGCAGAGCAACAGAUAGAACCCUUCCUCCCUCUCGCGAGAUCGACCGACGCCGGUAAGAUGCUGCCGUACGCGACGGCCGGCGAGGCGGAGGCGGCGCUCGGCCGCGCCCUGACGUGGGCGGAGGCCGCGUGGCUCCGCUACUCGGCGUCGGUGCCGGACCGCUACCUCCACUGGCCCAACAUCGCCAUCACAUUGGUCGUCUACACGCUGGCGCCGCUGCCCCUCGCCCUCUUCGACCUCGCCGCGCCGGCCGCCGCCGCACCGUACAAGCUGCAGCCCAAGGUGCAGCACCCGCCGUCCACCUUCUUCCGCUGCUACAUGGACGCCGUUCGUGUCUCCCUCCUCAUCAUCGGACCAUAUCAGCUCAUCUCGUAUCCUGCCGCCAAGAUAAUGGACAUACGGACGGGACUUCCAUUGCCGUCAAUGGGGGAGAUAGCGGCGCAACUGACGGUAUACUUCUUGGUGGAAGACUAUCUGAACUAUUGGCUCCAUCGGCUCUUGCACACUAAAUGGGGCUAUGAAAAGAUCCACCAUGUUCACCAUGAGUUCACGGCUCCCAUGGCAUAUGCUGCAUGGUACGGACACUGGGCUGAGAUGCUCAUCCUUGCGGUGCCCUCCUUGGCUGGCCCUGCUCUUGUCCCAUGCCAUGUUACCACGUUGUGGAUCUGGUUUGCUGCACGCUUGGUUGAGAGCCUCAACAUACAUAGCGGAUUUAAGUUGCCAUUCAACGCUGAGAAGUAUAUACCGUUCUAUGGAGGGGCAGAGCACCAUGACUACCAUCACUAUAUAGGAGGACAGAGCAAGAGCAACUUCGCUCCUGUUUUCACCUACUGUGAUUAUAUUUAUGGAACGGACAAGGGCUACAGAUAUCACAAGGCAACUCUGGCAAAGCUGAAGGAGUUGGCAGGCAGCGACGUUCAGAAAGGAGUCGACAAUGGAUUCAACGGUGGAAAGCAGGACUAGAGAGAGGUUGGCUUCAGAGGACUCAUGGUCAUACAAAUCCUAUCAUUAAUUCAAGUGGUCUCCGGAUAUAUAUCCCCAUGAUGGAGUACACUAGUAUAAAUAAUUGUUCUAUGCCAAUCAACAACGUUGAGUGGCUCGUGAACCACCGGCAGAGUCGUUCCAAGUGUUAAUUAUUUCCAGUUCUCCCUCCAUUCGUACACAUAGCUCCACUACUUCUCUAUUAUCGGAUGUAAUAAUGAUGCUUAGUUCGUGAUAUGCUUGAUAGUGUGCGUCUUUGCAUACUACGUGACAUGUCUCUAGCAAGCAGGCAUGUGGGAACAGACAAAUAUGGAGACAUAGUCGAGAGCAUUUGCCUUUGUACUUCCAAUAUCAGACGUUGUACAUAAUUGGACAAUCUAUCUUUUUCCCUAUAUUUACGAUAUAUGUCGUCUUUCGGUGAUCAAUAUUUUUUGUGAGGUUUUCUUUUGGGGGGAAUUUUUUAUGAGCAAUACCAGUAUGAGACUACAAAAUUCUACAGGAUCACCUUGGCGAUCUUGUUAGUUAGAAUUGAUGUGUUUGGUUUUAGCCUAACUUCUACAACAAAAUAGUUGGCUAACCAAAAUUUUGAUGAAACUUUUGCUUGCCUUUGAGUUUGUUAACAUCGUCUAGAAAAAUAAAUUUGAAUGGGUACAAAAACAUUGGCAUGCAAAGACAUUGAUGGCCAUGCAAACAUAGACCAACCUUUUUUUUUUGUCAUGAACAAAAAGUUGAUAGGGCAUAUGAGUGUUGGCUACCAUCCAAACACACCCAAAGUGUUCUCACAAGUAUUAUUCCUUGAUCGCCCGAGAAAUCUCCAAAAAGCAUUCAUGCAAGGAUGUUUUUUAGCUUCUUCGUUCUACGGGCUCCUAUCUAUCGCGUUGCUUGUGCUUUAUCUAUAAAGCGAGGUGAUAACCCAUUUCGUAUCUAUUGUGUCACUUUUGCAGUGUUUUACACCUGGCAGAGAGAGCAAAUCACUACAAGGUUCACGAUCGCGACUGCAAACUAUGGCUUGUAAAUAAAGGAAAGAACAUCCAAAUGUACGAGAAGAUACAAUUAGCAAAAUGUUAGCCCGGGAAUUGUCGCUUUUGUACGGUAAAGUUAUCCAUGGACCGGAGGGGAUAGAUUUCCCCAGUUACUUGUAACGUGUGGAAGAGUGGAUAGUGCCCUGCCCGUAGUGCGCGGAACCCAUGUUGGUAUAUUUCUUAUCGUGAACGUGACAUCGCAUUGCAAACUUGAA